AGCGAACGCUGGCGGCAGGCUUAACACAUGCAAGUCGAACGGUCCUUCGGGAUAGUGGCGGACGGGUGAGUAACACGUGGGAACGUACCCUUAGGUUCGGAACAACACAGGGAAACUUGUGCUAAUACCGGAUAAGCCCUUCGGGGGAAAGAUUUAUCGCCUUUGGAGCGGCCCGCGUCUGAUUAGCUUGUUGGUGAGGUAAUGGCUCACCAAGGCUACGAUCAGUAGCUGGUCUGAGAGGAUGGCCAGCCACACUGGGACUGAGACACGGCCCAGACUCCUACGGGAGGCAGCAGUGGGGAAUCUUGCGCAAUGGGCGAAAGCCUGACGCAGCCAUGCCGCGUGGAUGAUGAAGGUCUUAGGAUUGUAAAAUCCUUUCACCGGGGACGAUAAUGACGGUACCCGGAGAAGAAGCCCCGGCUAACUUCGUGCCAGCAGCCGCAGUAACAC
rnacentral:rRNA from 1 species